GUGACUGCGUACCUUUUGUAUAAUGGGUCAGCGACUUAUAUUCUGUAGCAAGGUUAACCGAAUAGGGGAGCCGGAGGGAAACCGAGUCUUAAUUGGGCGUUAAGUUGCAGGGUAUAGACCCGAAACCCGGUGAUCUAGCCAUGGGCAGGUUGAAGGUUGGGUAACACUAACUGGAGGACCGAACCGACUAAUGUUGAAAAAUUAGCGGAUGACCUGUGGCUGGGGGUGAAAGGCCAAUCAAACCGGGAGAUAGCUGGUUCUCCCCGAAAGCUAUUUAGGUAGCGCCUCGUGAAUUCAUCUCCGGGGGUAGAGCACUGUUUCGGCUAGGGGGCCAUCCCGGCUUACCAACCCGAUGCAAACUGCGAAUACCGGAGAAUGUUAUCACGGGAGACACACGGCGGGUGCUAACGUCCGUCGUGAAGAGGGAAACAACCCAGACCGCCAGCUAAGGUCCCAAAGUCAUGGUUAAGUGGGAAACGAUGUGGGAAGGCCCAGACAGCCAGGAUGUUGGCUUAGAAGCAGCCAUCAUUUAAAGAAAGCGUAAUAGCUCACUGGUCGAGUCGGCCUGCGCGGAAGAUGUAACGGGGCUAAACCAUGCACCGAAGCUGCGGCAGCGANAUGUUGGCUUAGAAGCAGCCAUCAUUUAAAGAAAGCGUAAUAGCUCACUGGUCGAGUCGGCCUGCGCGGAAGAUGUAACGGGGCUAAACCAUGCACCGAAGCUGCGGCAGCGAACGUAUCACCCAAGACAACUUUACGGAGUUGACGAUUGACGGAGCGAAGCGACGUCAAAGCGUUCAUUAAAGUCGAGUUGGCUUAGGGAUACGUUCGUUGGGUAGGGGAGCGUUCUGUAAGCCUGCGAAGGUGGCCUGUGAGGGUUGCUGGAGGUAUCAGAAGUGCGAAUGCUGACAU
rnacentral:rRNA from 1 species